AUCCCAAUAUUCAGCUGUUUUAUUGAAUUAAGUAAAUAUGCUCCCUGGAUUCUUCCAUUCACUCAUUCAUUUACUUUCUCACUCAACAAAUAUUUAUUAAGCACUUACUGUGUACCAGGCACUGUUCUGGGUGCUAGGAAUGCAGCAGGAAACCAAACCCAUCCAGAUGCCUAUCCUGGUGGAGUUAACACUUACUAUUGUACUAUAUUAAAUGGCUAGUCCGGGAAGACUUCCCAGGUCGAGUCUCCCAAGUAAAGAUCUGAAGGCGUGAGAGUGGGAGCCAUGUGAAGUUCUGGGGAGAGAGCAUUCCUGGCUGAGGGACUGCCAUGCUAAGACCUCGAAGCCAUGUGCCCCAUGGUUCAAGGAACAGCAAGGAAGCCAGCCCAGUGCUGUGGCUGGUGGGGAUGAAUAAGAGGACACAAGUCAGAAAAUUAGGAUGGAGGAGGUACACAUCAUUUUGAGCACUAUAAAGACCAGAUGUUACUCUGAAUGAACCUGAGACUUGGACUCUUAUUCUGGGUUGCCAGGGUCCUAAUCUGGGUUGGAGAAAAGAAGCUUACAUGAAGUGAGAGACUGUGAGAGCUGGGCCCAAGUCUGUCCACUCCAGAACCUGAGCAGCUCUCGAUCAUCAAUGCGAGACCACCCAACGUAGACAAAGCAAAUGGAACUCUUUGAAGAAAGAUACCUCGAUCCAAGCGAUCCUCACGGAAGCUGGGAGAUACCUGCCUUGCGGGGCUCCUUGGGCAUCUUCCCCAAACAGGAGGUCAAGCGAGACUGGAGAGGUGCCUGCAGGAGAAAGUCAGAGGCUUCCCAGACACCCUGUCUAUACAGAGAUCACAGCCGGGAGCAGAAUAAAUGAGCACUUCACCAACUUGAAAAUACAAUUCUCUUGGUUAUUAAUAGUCAAAAGACUCCCAGUACUGGGCCAGAAGUUUCUUUUUUAGUAGCAAUUACUUAAAUUAAGUUUCUGAUUUGUAUUAAAGUUUUCUGGCAGAACUCAACACAGGAUGCAAGAGCAUGAGGAAGAUUUCCAAACAAGAUUACACGGUUUUCCGAUGUGAUACAUUUGAUCAUCUCUGAAAAGGCAGGGGCGACAUUGCAAUCUUAAUUGAAAUGUCAAAUUCUUGGGAAACGUUCUCCUUGUUAACAUUGGACUUAAGGAUUGUAAUGAUUAUUUACUUUGAGCUCCAGAGGUUUUGAAGAAAUGUAAAAGAAUCCUAAGCAGUCUUCUCUUCCUUGAACUAGGCCUUUUCAAAGAAUGCUUCUGCUCAUUGACCAGCAGGUUGAGAGAUUUAUAUUUGGUUUCUAAUUAAGUACCCUAACUGUAAGUGAGAGAAUGGAGAAGAAAAGCCCAUAGUCUUAUAUCCCAAGAAGAAAGCAAGUGUUUGCUUCAGUGGCAAACCUGCCUUCUCAGGAGUCUAAGGGGGAGCAAAGAAGGCCCAUUUUAUUUCUUCUGAAGACAUCCUCUGGCGCUUGAGAACGUCUGAUGUUGUUUAGCAGGGUAAGCCAACCGCUGAUGGGUUCUGUUAAGAACAAAAGCCUUGGCUUCUGGUCCCAGAGAGUAAUGAAUUUCUAGUAACACUUAACAUGGUAAUUACGAUGAAAAAUGUAUUUUAAAAUUAAUGUACUUUAACAGAUAUGUCAAGUUGAAUCCAGAGCCAAGGACACUGGCUUAAACUAAAUUGACUUAUGGCCUUUUGGGAUUCUUGGGUCAUGUAAGAGCUCAGUUUGACUUUAUCCCUAACUCAGUUUCUCUAUUCCCUCUUCAUAUCACAACUAUUAGAGACAUAAAAAGUGCCCUGUGACUAUGAUAUAGUCUUUUGGGAGACCUGGAAGAUGUCAUAUCUUUUUUUUCUUGAAAAUAAAGUUUAUAGGGGUCCCUGGGUAGCUCAGUCAAUUGAGCCUCCUACUCUUGAUUUCAGCUGAGGUUGUGAUAUCUGGGUCAUGGGGUCAGGCCUGGCCUCAGGCUUCAUGCUCAGCGUGGAGUCUGCUUGUCUCUCUCCUUCCCCCUGAUUGUAUACUCUCUCUCUCUAAAAUAAUAAAAUCCUUUUUAAAAAAUUAAAAAUUAAAAAAAAAGGAAAGUUUAUCGGGGCACCUGACUGACUCAGCCAAGGGGGCACAUGAAUCUUGACCUUGGAGUUGUGAGUUCAAGCCCCAUAUUGGAUAUAGAGAUUACUUAAAAAUAAAAUCUUUUUUAUUUUUAAAGAAAGUGUAUAAAAACAACACAUUGUAAAAAUAUUAUCCCAAACCCAAAAAGCUGAUUCUUCUGUCCGUUUCAAAGAAAUCAAGAUAGAAAUAAAAUUGUUUUUAUUAAUAUUUGGAGGACGGCAUUCAUAUCUAAGUAAGAAUUAUGCUUGUGAAAAAAAGAGAUCUGAACUCACUCUAAAAAAUUUUGCCCCCUUCCAUUUCUGUACAUUAGAAAACCGUUCCUGCCUUCCUCUUUACUUUUCCAAGUUAUUAAAGAUUUUGUGUCUUUCUUAGUUUCCCGGUAUGAAGCAAAACACUGUAAAUACAUCAGAGAAAUGCUAGAAUUUUAGCCAGUAAUAAUUCAAAGCUUUGACUCUGAAUACAGGCACCCACUAUUCACAGUAUUUCCCAUUGUAUCCUGUUUACAGAGAACCCAGAUGAAUGGUGCCCACCUGGAGGUGUCCCAUGGACCGAAAUAAUCUUAGCAAAUGUGCGAUGGUCUGGGUACAGCCGCUGCUACCUCCUCAUCUAGCUGAGCCCACUGCUUGGUGCCACCAGUCUGUUAGAUAGUAACCUUCAAGCCCUCCUGGCCUUGUUGAUAUUUCGUUGCCUAUCAGUGGAUCAUUAGUUGGAGUAUUUCCUUAGUCAUAGAGACUAGCCGUUUGUUGGGACGUUCUCAGUAGGAACUACAGUUGAAGAUAACAGAAGGGUUAUUUAAACAUGAAUGUGAAAACACAAAACAAAACACUUCUUUCUUCUUGGGGCCUAAGACUGUUUUGUUAUUUUCUGAUUCUUAAACUUGUUCAGGCUUCUUAAGUGCAGAGAUCUGAUUGUCUUUUUAAUCUUUCCUGUGACAUUUGAAUGUUUAAGUCUUUUGAGAAUAUAUAUAUUUACAUUUUCCAACCAGCCAACGGCACUUAAUAUCUUCUAUAGUUCCAAAGAUUAGGAAAAGAAGAGAAAGCUAGAGAGUUGGCAAGCAAGUGUGUAAUAAUCUGGCAAGGAAAUUCUUGAGCAAGAAUAUAUGGGUUUGAGUUUAUUGGAACAUUUGAAAGCAAUUAAAUUGUUUUUUUCCCCUCAAACUUAUUUUUGUCCUUUUUACUUUAAGCACACAGAGGCAUACAGCUGAAAAAUAACAUUGCAAGUAUAAAUGAAUCAUUAAGCUGAUCAAGCCAAGAAGCUACUACCAGGAGUCUUUAUAGAAUACUAGGUAAGGGGGAUCCCUGGGUGGCGCAGCAGGUUUGGCGCCUGCCUUUGGCCCAGGGCGCGAUCCUGGAGACCCGGGAUCGAAUCCCACAUCAGGCUCCCGGUGCA